CAAGUCGAACGGAGUAUUUAUUUCGGUAGAUACUUAGUGGCGAACGGGUGAGUAACGCGUGAGCAACCUGACCUUUUGAGGGGGAUAACAACCGGAAACGGUUGCUAAUACCGCAUAAGACCACGCUACCGCAUGGUAGAGGGGUCAAAGGAGCAAUCCGCAGAAGGAGGGGCUCGCGUCCCAUUAGAUAGUUGGUGAGGUAACGGCCCACCAAGUCAGCGAUGGGUAGCCGAGCUGAGAGGCUGAUCGGCCACACUGGAACUGAGACACGGUCCAGACUCCUACGGGAGGCAGCAGUGGGGAAUAUUGGGCAAUGGGGGAAACCCUGACCCAGCAACGCCGCGUGAGGGAAGAAGGCUUUCGGGUUGUAAACCCCUGUCGCAGGGGACGAAACAAAUGACGGUACCCUGUGAGGAAGCCCCGGCUAACUACGUGCCAGCAGCCGCGGUAAUA
rnacentral:rRNA from 1 species